UGGGGAAUUUUGCGCAAUGGGCGAAAGCCUGACGCAGCAACGCCGCGUGAGUGAAGAAGGCUUUUGGGUCGUAAAGCUCUUUUCUGAGGGAAGAGACUGACGGUACCUCAGGAAUAAGCACCGGCUAACUCCGUGCCAGCAGCCGCGGUAAUACGGAGGGUGCAAGCGUUGUUCGGAUUUACUGGGCGUAAAGGGCGUGUAGGCGGAAGUGCAAGCUAUGGGUGAAAGUCCCGGGCUCAACCCGGGAAGGUCUUGUAGAACUGCACAUCUAGAGAGGGCAAGAGGCAGGUGGAAUUCCAGGUGUAGAGGUGAAAUUCGUAGAGAUCUGGAGGAACACCGGCGGCGAAGGCGGCCUGCUGAGGCCACUCUGACGCUGAGGCGCGAAAGCGUGGGUAGCAAACAGGAUUAGAUACCCUGGUAGUCCACGCUGUAAACGAUGAGCACUCGAUGUGCGGAGGUUUUGACCCUCCGCGUGUCACAGCUAACGCAUUAAGUGCUCCGCCUGGGGACUACGGUCGCAAGACUA
rnacentral:rRNA from 1 species